GAUGAACGCUGGCGGCGUGCCUAAUACAUGCAAGUCGAGCGAACAGAUGAGGAGCUUGCUCCGCUGACGUUAGCGGCGGACGGGUGAGUAACACGUGGAUAACCUACCUAUAAGACUGGGAUAACUUCGGGAAACCGGAGCUAAUACCGGAUAAUAUAUUUAACCGCAUGGUUCAAUAGUGAAAGACGGUUUUGCUGUCACUUAUAGAUGGAUCCGCGCCGCAUUAGCUAGUUGGUAAGGUAACGGCUUACCAAGGCAACGAUGCGUAGUCGACCUGAGAGGGUGAUCGGCCACACUGGAACUGAGACACGGUCCAGACUCCUACGGGAGGCAGCAGUAGGGAAUCUUCCGCAAUGGGCGAAAGCCUGACGGAGCAACGCCGCGUGAGUGAUGAAGGUCUUCGGAUCGUAAAACUCUGUUAUUAGGGAAGAACAAAUGUGUAAGUAACUAUGCACGUCUUGACGGUACCUAAUCAGAAAGCCACGGCUAACUACGUG
rnacentral:rRNA from 1 species